AGCUGGCCCUGCUCUGAGCAGGGGUCAGCAUAGACAAUUCCCACAGGCUCCUUUCAACCUCAGCUGUUCUGUGAUCCUGCUUGCUGAUCCUGAUGCCCUGCGGUCAAGUCUCUCUACCCUUACUUGUAUCAUCCCUCAAAUAUCUUGAUGGCGUGCUCUUUGGCUCUCCUGGGGGAAAUGACAAAUUAGCUCCUCUGCAGCAGGUACUCAGAGACACCUGAGCAGCUGACAAAAGCACACCUGAUUUAGGAGUAGGGGAGGAAAAAAGUCUUUGCAUAGGGUGUCAGUACAGACAAUGCAUGUGGGAUUCAUCUCAUCUAACUCUGGACAUUUACAGUAAAUGUUUGAGUUACAUAUCUCAACUUCCUUUUGACUCAGAUAGGUUCUUACUGGGACAGAAGAUCUUCACCCCAUCAUGUUGUUGACUGAACUUCUUACAAGGACAAGCAGCCAGAAGAUACUGUGCGUCCUUGGCAGUGAUAGGUCCCAUGCUGGCGUGCCAAAUAAUUGAAGGACACUGCUAGAUCACACAGCUUGUCUUGUCUCAGCUUUUGAUGUAUGUUGAGGCAACACAGCAUACAACUGCUGUCCCUUUGAGCACACACCUGGGGAUCAGAAGACUGAUCAAGCUUGGCAGAGGUGGUUUGUCUAUGCAGCAUGAGGGCUGCCCACACUUUAAAAAGAUGUCCACCGUGGUGGAGAUGCAGAUGGACGAAAGGGCCACUUCUGGUGCUGGCAUGCUUCCACGGAGGUCAAGAGCAAUCCAGCCACAGAGAUUUUUACCCCAUCUUGCCAAGAUUCAAGUGCAAGGGAAAACUAGUUUGGUGAGCUCACGGUCAUCCCCAGCGAGCAGAAUUUCAGGUCAUGACAGCAGUGCAAAGACGGCCUUAGUCUCCUGGAGGAAAUGGAGGACUUGACAAGCAAAGAGACUGCAGAGCUAAUUGAGCAGAGGGCAAAUUGCCUGCUCCCCAUUGCCUAACAACAUACUUGCCUCUGAUGAUGAAUGCUUGUAGUAAACACACCGGUCUUAAAUGGGAGAAGUUGGUCAACAGAGCUUCCAUGCAAUUUCACAAGAAGAGCUACGCUCAUUUGCAGCAGCUAAGUAUCUCUCCCCUUGACUUCACUUUGCUACUUAAAUGGGUAAAUUACUUCCCAAUUACGCAGGACUGUGCAGCUGAAAAUCUUAAAAACUGGCAUUGCAUGAAAGAGCGCUGACCAGCUGCAUGGGAUUCGUCUCACCAGCCGGAGAUGUUUUCAGUGCAGACUCCAGCAUCUGAACUCCCCCUCUUUGUAGUCAGUGCUCUGUUUAUUUCUGUCAGCUGUCAAAGGAAGCUUAGGCAAUCAGCUCCGAUAGGCAUCCAAAAAUGCCUGCCACAUGUGAUAGGUGAAGCCCACGAGUUUUGUCUUGAGAUGGGAGCUCUCUGUAGACCCUCUCUAUUCAAAGUGGUUCUUCACAACCAGAAGACCCCUAAACCCCUCCACAUUUCAGAAGAUAAAAUUAUUUCCUUGGUUACAAAGUUCUUUGCUUACAGUUUCCCUGAGGAGCUUUACCAAACUGCUGUGUCACAGCAUCCCUGAUAUUUGGCUUUCUUAAAAAUAGAUCGCAGAGGGUAAAUGUAUUUUACAAAAGAGCCACCUGGUUAAUCAACAAGAUCCAAAAGAAAAGAAAAUGAACAGAAAAUGCCCUUUUGGGUUAAUCUCUAGCUAAAAUACUUAGCCUCACAUCAAAGCUUAGUGAUGCCCCAUAACAUCCAACCUUUCGCUAUAUUUUGAUGACAACAUUUUGCUUAAAAAAAGUAAUACCUGGAGGAUUACCCCGUGUCAAUCACCAUCCCAAGGGUGACUAAUACUUUUCAUUUCAACCAUCUAUUAUGACCAGUGGGUGUCUUUUGUUAAAUUAUAUGCUGCACUGUGGGGCCCGAAGGCUUUUUCUCUUCCCACAGACCUUUCGCUGGCAUUUCUAUUGACAUGUCAGCAGCAGCAGCUUUGUGAGAGCUUGGCUCUGGUGUCAGAGCUACCUCACGAAGUUUCCAGUGCCAUUUCACCAUCUCAGCCCCGCAGAACCCACGUGCUCCUCUUCGUCACCACGGCCUCCUCGGUGACACCACUGCAGUUGCCUGGGGGAACACACCAGAAAUCAGAACUGGUUGAUGGUAGAAAUUACUUAUUUUGGGGAGUGUUAUUUCUAACCUGGCUAAAAGCCCUGGGUUUGCAGGGCUGAGCCACAUACCUUGCUCUGCCAAGAGGAGAUGCCCACAGGGAGGGCAGUGCUCUGCAGUGGGAGGCCAGCUGUAAGGCACCAGGGGAGGGAGGAGGGAACAUUUUAAGUUAGCUCCAUUGGCAAAGCCAGAGUUUCAUGAAAAUAUGGCCUCUGUGGACGUCAUGCUGUAUAAAAUGAAAGGGAAGCUAAACCAAUUAAGCCUGUGUAUUAAUUGUGGAAAUCCUUAUGUUAUCAUUUUUGUUCUAAGUUUCCUUCAACAGCACUUGGGUUUUUAAUUUUUCAUUUGAAAGGACAGCCAGUGCUCACCUAUGCUCUUUUUUUCUCUUCUCUUUUGUAAUUUGGUGAUAAUUCACUCUUCAAUUUUAGAGUUACUUUCAAAACGUAACUCCCUACUCAUUGUAAAAUAUAACUCUAAAUAAAACCCCUUCAGCACUCA
rnacentral:lncRNA from 1 species